rfam:Gossypium raimondii Chr02_contig_810, whole genome shotgun sequence.
AACCCAUGAUGAGGGCACCUUCUUAGAAGAUCCUUAAAUCUCUCCCAUGCAUCAUAUAAUGUUUUCAACUCAAUUUGAGACAAAGAAGAGCUGUCAUUCCUCAACUU